AUUGAACGCUGGCGGCAGGCCUAACACAUGCAAGUCGAACGGGUGGCGGACGGGUGAGUAAUGUCUGGGAAACUCCCUGAGGGAGGGGAAUAACUACGGGAAACGGUAGUUAUACCCGCAUACCAUAAGAGUGGCCCAUAUGGGAUUAGCUGGUUGGGGGGGUAACGGCUCACCAAGGCGACGUUCCCUAGCUGGUCUGAGAGGAUGACCAGCCACACUGGAACUGAGACACGGUCCAGACUCCUACGGGAGGCAGCAGUGGGGAAUAUUGCACAAUGGGCGCAAGCCUGAUGCAGCCAUGCCGCGUGUAUGAAGAAGGCCUUCGGGUUGUAAAGUACUUUCAGCGGGGAGGCGUUACCCGCAGAAGAAGCACCGGCUAACUCCGUGCCAGCAGCCGCGGUAAUAC
rnacentral:rRNA from 1 species